rnacentral:tRNA from 1 species
GAGGAUAGCUCAGUGGUAGAGCACAUGCCUAGCCUGCAAACGGUCCUGGGUUCAAUCCCCAGUAACUUCA